rnacentral:rRNA from 1 species
UACGUAGGUGGCGAGCGUUGUCCGGAUUUACUGGGCGUAAAGGGAGCGUAGGCGGACUUUUAAGUGAGAUGUGAAGUACCCGGGCUCAACUUGGGUGCUGCAUUUCAAACUGGAAGUCUAGAGUGCAGGAGAGGAGAAUGGAAUUCCUAGUGUAGCGGUGAAAUGCGUAGAGAUUAGGAAGAACACCAGUGGCGAAGGCGAUUCUCUGGACUGUAACUGACGCUGAGGCUCGAAAGCGUGGGGAGCAAACAGGAUUAGAUACCCGCGUA